CUCGUUUGUUUCCUCAUUCGCUGAAGAACUGCUGUGGGCCAGCCAGUGGGUGCAGAAGGUCUUAUACCCCUGCAGGUGGAGCAGGAAGGAGAACUCGUGAAUGAGUGAGGCUCGCAGUCCUGGAAUACGUGCACUCCAGAGGCAUUUAAUGAAAGUUAUGAUGAAUGUUUUUGAUGAGAAAAGAAUGAAAUGAGAGACCAUCCUGAACCUGGAGACUGAAACAAAGAAGGUUUGUCUAGUCUUUGUGUGAGCGAAUCAUAACCCACAAACUCAGGCAGGUAUACAGAAAUGUAAUUUCCUUUUUAUCUCUUGCCAUGUGGCAUGUGGGCAUCCAAGUUCCCC
rnacentral:lncRNA from 1 species